UGCAUGAACAAAAUGAAAACUUCACCAAAGAGAAAUAAUAGAAAAGAACUAAACAGAAAUUCUGGAGCUCAGCAAUACAAUGAAUGAAAUGAAAAAUGUGAUAGAGAGCCUCAACAGCAGACUUAAGCAGAAGAACUAAUCUGCAAACUCAAAAUUAAGAAGGUGCUGUCACUCCCAGUUGCCAAGUCAAGCCCCGUCGAAGGAAAAGCAUGCAUAGAACCAAGCACAGCCAAAAUUUCUUUCCCAGGAUCAGCACCUCCUUCUGAGGCUGCAGACAAAGACUGUCAAGGGACCCCAUUACUCCCUGUUGAAGUCUCAGAGCUCAUGGGUGUAGCUUCUUUGGUGUCAGGGGCUCUGGAUGCUAAGCCAGUAGAGAAUCCUGAAGAUCCUAGCCAACGGAUUAAUAAAAACUGGAAGAAGGCAAUUGUGACAUGGCAGGAACAAACUGAGAGAAUAUUUAUAUUUUGAAGUAGAUGGAUCCAAACAAAGAAAUGUGAAUAAGAUCAAGGAGUUUGGCUAGGGGUCUGAGAGACACUGUCAGACCAACCUGCAUUUGAAAUGGGCCAGUGUCUGAGUCAUGACAACAUAAAGGUAAAGGUGCCCUGAAUGUGCCCCUAGUCCCUGGGUCUGCUCUCGUCACCUCUUGUCACUUCAGGAAGCAACAGCCAGGAGUGAAACAUGUAACCUGAGGUGGGAGGAAGGAAUUUUUCAGAAGCUCUUCCUGGACAAGGUGAGUCCUCAUGAACUGAUCCUGACCCCUAUGAACCCAUACCCUAUGAGCUCAACCUCCUAGAUGAGGAGCGUUCCACGAAUAAGACCCAUAUGUUAAGAUCCUGGAGCCUGAGGGAUCAGGUGGCCUGAUGGGGCAGACAGUUCUAAGUUGCCUCCUGUUUUGGCCAAUCUUCUGGGAAGCAUAGGUACCUGGAAGGGUUUAUUGAGAUCUGAAGAAGAAGGCAUCAAUGUCCAGGAGAGCCUUACUUUCAUCAUGGGUAGCCCAAACAGUCAGCCCUCAAAAUAACUUCUAAAACAACCAGACUAUUCAGAUAAGAUGACUGAUUGCUCUUGCCACCUAACCUCUGAGGUCCUGGUUGAAUAGUCCGUCGUUUCCUACCAGGAGGCCCUGGGAGGUCCAAAGACAUUUUCCCCCUGGCACUGGCGACCUAUACCUGGUUUCUAUGGAGGCUCUGGAGACCCUGAUGGGCAGUUGAUCCACAUCUUCUGGGUCCCCCAAUCCCUCCAGUGAAAGAUGACCCCUUCUGGGAUAGCCCAGGUGACCCCAUGCAGGGUGGCCUAAUAUUGAGGGGAGAGUCAAGAACCAAUUCCUGGAUCAUACCAUAAAGCCUGUGGUGGCCAAAAAGAAAAUGAACCUUUCCCACCUCCUCCACUCUGAGGGGCCAGAGGAAGUCUCUCUGGAGUAGGACCCCUAAAUGGAUGAAGAAAUUCUGGUGGGAUCAUUGUUAGAGUUGGUGGGCAUCAUCACCAAUAAGCAUCUCUUUCAUGAAAGUACUGGUGGUGGCAUAAGUGGGGGCAGUGAAGAUUUUUCAUGAAGGUCCUGGACAUGGGGGAUGCUGUGACCCCAAGCCUCAUGAUGUCCCUGGUCACUGAGGCCAUGACCAUCAAGGUCUGCCCUCUCGUGAGCACUCUGGCCAUGAUGGCCCUGGGCCACUGAGGUCAAGAUGGAAGCUACAGCCAUGAAGGAGACAGAUCAACCUGCUCUGUUUGCUGACAUUUGAUGAUAAAGGGCAAUGCCACUAUGAGAACAAUUACGUCUUUUACCACCUGAGUGUCAAAGUCC
rnacentral:lncRNA from 1 species